CCGCGUCCCGCUCGCUGAGAGAGGUAUCUCUCCUUUUCCCUCUCCCUUCCCCUAAGGAGUGGAGUCAACAUAUCAAUGGAGCAAGUCACAGUCGUCGAUGCCAGCUUCUUCUUGAAAUGUAGGAAUUUGAAAUACAUAUAAAGCAUCCUUAUGAAUCAGAAACAGCCAGUAUUGGUUUGGGGGGUUUCAUCAUUAACUUACACAUAUGGUGUUACUCCAUAAUUGAUGGUGUGUGGUUAAUAUUUAAUUACAGAUAUAUAAGUAUAUCUUAAUGAAUAAUAGAUGCUUUGCUACUGCUUUUUAAGAAUUUCAGAAUUAAAGAAAAGAUAGCACUUUAAUAAUAGUUAAUACAUGGUAUAGAACAAAA
rnacentral:lncRNA from 1 species